CAGUCGCCGCGGGAAUACGAAGGGGGCUAGCGUUGCUCGGAAUGACUGGGCGUAAAGGGCGCGUAGGCGGCGAUCAAAGUCAGGCGUGAAAUUCCUGGGCUCAACCUGGGGGCUGCGCUUGAUACUUGGUUGCUUGAGUGGGGAAGAGGGUCGUGGAAUUCCCAGUGUAGAGGUGAAAUUCGUAGAUAUUGGGAAGAACACCAGUGGCGAAGGCGGCCUUCUGGGCCAUAACUGACGCUGAGGAGCGAAAGCUAGGGGAGCAAACAGGAUUAGAUACCCCGGUAGUCCCUGUCUCUUAUAC
rnacentral:rRNA from 1 species